CCCCCAGUAGCGGCGAGCGAACGGGGAGGAGCCCAGAGCCUGAAUCAGUGUGUGUGUUAGUGGAAGCGUCUGGAAAGGCGCGCGAUACAGGGUGACAGCCCCGUACACAAAAAUGCACAUAUUGUGAGCUCGAUGAGUAGGGCGGGACACGUGGUAUCCUGUCUGAAUAUGGGGGGACCAUCCUCCAAGGCUAAAUACUCCUGACUGACCGAUAGUGAACCAGUACCGUGAGGGAAAGGCGAAAAGAACCCCGGCGAGGGGAGUGAAAAAGAACCUGAAACCGUGUACGUACAAGCAGUGGGAGCCUCUUAAUGGGGUGACUGCGUACCUUUUGUAUAAUGGGUCAGCGACUUAUAUUCUGUAGCAAGGUUAACCGAAUAGGGGAGCCGAAGGGAAACCGAGUCUUAACUGGGCGUUAAGUUGCAGGGUAUAGACCCGAAACCCGGUGAUCUAGCCAUGGGCAGGUUGAAGGUUGGGUAACACUAACUGGAGGACCGAACCGACUAAUGUUGAAAAAUUAGCGGAUGACUUGUGGCUGGGGGUGAAAGGCCAAUCAAACCGGGAGAUAGCUGGUUCUCCCCGAAAGCUAUUUAGGUAGCGCCUCGUGAAUUCAUCUCCGGGGGUAGAGCACUGUUUCGGCAAGGGGGUCAUCCCGACUUACCAACCCGAUGCAAACUGCGAAUACCGGAGAAUGUUAUCACGGGAGACACACGGCGGGUGCUAACGUCCGUCGUGAAGAGGGAAACAACCCAGACCGCCAGCUAAGGUCCCAAAGUCAUGGUUAAGUGGGAAACGAUGUGGGAAGGCCCAGACAGCCAGGAUGUUGGCUUAGAAGCAGCCAUCAUUUAAAGAAAGCGUAAUAGCUCACUGGUCGAGUCGGCCUGCGCGGAAGAUGUAACGGGGCUAAACCAUGCACCGAAGCUGCGGCAGCGACACUAUGUGUUGUUGGGUAGGGGAGCGUUCUGUAAGCCUGUGAAGGUGGCCUGUGAGGGUUGCUGGAGGUAUCAGAAGUGCGAAUGCUGACAUAAGUAACGAUAAAGCGGGUGAAAAGCCCGCUCGCCGGAAGACCAAGGGUUCCUGUCCAACGUUAAUCGGGGCAGGGUGAGUCGACCCCUAAGGCGAGGCCGAAAGGCGUAGUCGAUGGGAAACAGGUUAAUAUUCCUGUACUUGGUGUUACUGCGAAGGGGGGACGGAGAAGGCUAUGUUGGCCGGGCGACGGUUGUCCCGGUUUAAGCGUGUAGGCUGGUUUUCCAGGCAAAUCCGGAAAAUCAAGGCUGAGGCGUGAUGACGAGGCACUACGGUGCUGAAGCGACAAAUGCCCUGCUUCCAGGAAAAGCCUCUAAGCAUCAGGUAACAUCAAAUCGUACCCCAAACCGACACAGGUGGUCAGGUAGAGAAUACCAAGGCGCUUGAGAGAACUCGGGUGAAGGAACUAGGCAAAAUGGUGCCGUAACUUCGGGAGAAGGCACGCUGAUAUGUAGGUGAAGCGACUUGCUCGUGGAGCUGAAAUCAGUCGAAGAUACCAGCUGGCUGCAACUGUUUAUUAAAAACACAGCACUGUGCAAACACGAAAGUGGACGUAUACGGUGUGACGCCUGCCCGGUGCCGGAAGGUUAAUUGAUGGGGUUAGCGGUAACGCGAAGCUCUUGAUCGAAGCCCCGGUAAACGGCGGCCGUAACUAUAACGGUCCUAAGGUAGCGAAAUUCCUUGUCGGGUAAGUUCCGACCUGCACGAAUGGCGUAAUGAUGGCCAGGCUGUCUCCACCCGAGACUCAGUGAAAUUGAACUCGCUGUGAAGAUGCAGUGUACCCGCGGCAAGACGGAAAGACCCCGUGAACCUUUACUAUAGCUUGACACUGAACAUUGAGCCUUGAUGUGUAGGAUAGGUGGGAGGCUUUGAAGUGUGGACGCCAGUCUGCAUGGAGCCGACCUUGAAAUACCACCCUUUAAUGUUUGAUGUUCUAACGUGGGCCCCUUACCGGGGUUGCGGACAGUGUCUGGUGGGUAGUUUGACUGGGGCGGUCUCCUCCUAAAGAGUAACGGAGGAGCACGAAGGUUGGCUAAUCCUGGUCGGACAUCAGGAGGUUAGUGCAAUGGCAUAAGCCAGCUUGACUGCGAGCGUGACGGCGCGAGCAGGUGCGAAAGCAGGUCAUAGUGAUCCGGUGGUUCUGAAUGGAAGGGCCAUCGCUCAACGGAUAAAAGGUACUCCGGGGAUAACAGGCUGAUACCGCCCAAGAGUUCAUAUCGACGGCGGUGUUUGGCACCUCGAUGUCGGCUCAUCACAUCCUGGGGCUGAAGUAGGUCCCAAGGGUAUGGCUGUUCGCCAUUUAAAGUGGUACGCGAGCUGGGUUUAGAACGUCGUGAGACAGUUCGGUCCCUAUCUGCCGUGGGCGCUGGAGAACUGAGGGGGGCUGCUCCUAGUACGAGAGGACCGGAGUGGACGCAUCACUGGUGUUCGGGUUGUCAUGCCAAUGGCACUGCCCGGUAGCUAAAUGCGGAAGAGAUAAGUGCUGAAAGCAUCUAAGCACGAAACUUGCCCCGAGAUGAGUUCUCCCUGACUCCUUGAGAGUCCUGAAGGAACGUUGAAGACGACGACGUUGAUAGGCCGGGUGUGUAAGCGCAGCGAUGCGUUGAGCUAACCGGUACUAAUGAACCGUGAGGCUUAACCUU
rnacentral:rRNA from 1 species